UCCCUUAAUCUGCGGAGGAAAAACAGCUACUGGCAAAUUAAAGAGACUUGGAACAGAGCCAUGAGAACUAAAUGGCUAAAAAUGAAAACAGGCAAACAUUUGAAGAGUAUUCUACAGAACACAGAUCUUCCAACACCUCCCCCUUUUCCACAGUUAAUUCAUUGUCAUGGAAACUGAAUUUAUCAAAAUGUUCUCGUUCACUCCUAGUGACCCAGUGAGUCGACUUACAGAGCUGGUGAAAGCAUUUUCCUUUGCUGAUCUCUAGCCCAAGGAUACAAAAAUCCUUCAGCUCUUCAUCACAAUCAUCUCUCCUUAUCUCUUGUUAAAGAAAGCUAAUGCUCUGCAAAUGUCUGUGUGGAUGCAUCCCUUCCAUCUGCAUGUGGUUUUGGAAAAAACACAGGCCGUCUCAACAACCACCUUGAAGAACCUGCACAAGGUAAAUAACCUUCUCUUCCUCACUCAAGUUGGGGAAGACAGUCCCCUAUACCAAUCCCCAAAUUCUAUUAAAUUUUGAUUACAUUUGAGACAUUAAUAACUCAAAGCAGUUAUUAGGUAUCAGGAUUUUGCAUUGUGGGCAUGGGCCAAUUUAAUAUUAUCUUUGUCAGUGGGGAGAUUUUCAAAGGCCCAAAUGGCAGUUAGGAACCCAACUUCCACUAAAAGACAAUAGAAUUAGAUGCUUCAACUGCCCUUUGUGUCUUUGAAAAUCUCCCCCUAAAUUUGUAAGUAUGGUCACAAUAGUCCCUUCUGGGUUUAUAAUUUAUGAAUCUGAAACCUUCCCACCAUGGGAGUUAAACUCAUUUUAGGCUCAUAGAUUGGUUAUGCUGAGAUCCACUUCAUUUACUUACUGAUGGGAUUUAUUUUCCUUGUUUCAUGCUGAAAGAAAAGUUAAAACAUGCUGUGCUAGUUCAUGAGUAACUGUUGUUGGUUUGACUUGUUUGGUUUUUUGGGGUUUGCUUUUUGUGUAUAUUAGUUAUGACAAGUCACAUAGUUUGAGAAGUCAAGUUGUUGUAAUAUUAUUUUAAAAGAGAAAGCUCUGUCAGAUUUUUUUCCUGUAGAGUGUCACAUCCAUGUGGAAC